rnacentral:rRNA from 1 species
GAGAUUCCCCCAGUAGCGGCGAGCGAACGGGGAGGAGCCCAGAGCCUGAAUCAGUGUGUGUGUUAGUGGAAGCGUCUGGAAAGGCGUGCGAUACAGGGUGACAGCCCCGUACACAAAAAUGCACAUACUGUGAGCUCGAUGAGUAGGGCGGGACACGUGGUAUCCUGUCUGAAUAUGGGGGGACCAUCCUCCAAGGCUAAAUACUCCUGACUGA